rnacentral:lncRNA from 1 species
UUAGCAGGGAAAUGGAGAGCUGGAACUAGAAACUUUCUGUCAGUGUAACGUCCGCGUGGGUGGUGACCCAAUGGUGGUUGGGCUUCGAGUCACGUGACAGCCUCAUUGUGGCUCCGGAACAGAACGUGAAGUUUAGGUUGCCUGGAAGAAGCAGAGACUGAAAGGGAGAAUCAAAAAAAAAAUCAAGAUUUGGGGGAAUUACCCACAGAGAUGCAAGCAAAGUCUAGCAGGUCUUGGACCCAAGCCGGACUGAAAAGCAAGUUCAUCUGGGACCCUGCCCUCCAAGAAGAUCAUAGCAGCCUUAGACAGAAAAUUCCUGAAGAUUUUUAACCUCAGAGGCAGUGGAACCAGGCUUCAUCCAUCUAUGUCCCAUCUGAAGGUACCUUCACCUCCAGUCUUGGCUCAGGCAGGCCUGGGACCAAGAAGCCAGAGGCCCCUAUGGAGCAUCCAAAUGGACCAUGACUGUUUAGAGUUCCCAGGAUAAAAAAGAAAAAGAAAAAAGAAAAAAACCUGUGCAGCUGCUGGAAUCUCUUUUCUACUGAGAUGGGAGGAAUUAUUCAGGAUGACAGAGUCACAAAAAAAUCUGAACAGUAUUCGUCUCUGGAUUCAAAAGGGGAGGCUGUUUACUGAGGUUCCCAACAGCAAAAAAAUAAAAUAAAA